UUAAGAGAUAUUGAAUAAUAGUUAUGAUUUUGGAAGUGCUACAAACCAUUUAAUUAUUUAUAGAAGAGCAUGAAUUUAUACAAUAUAAAGAGAUCAAAUUUCUCAAGCAAAGGAAAAAACUAUGGUUGAAAUUAUCAAGUUUUUGUAUGUUAUGAUUAUAUUUCUUUCCUUAUUUGUUGUUGCGGCAAAAGUUGAUGAUGAUUAUUAUGAGCCAUAUUGUGAAAUUGAUUCUGAUUGUCUUCAAGUGUGGAACGCAUACUAUAUUUGUAAGUGCAUUGAUGAAAGGUGUAAAUGGGUUAAAAGAGAUCUAUGAAAUUACCAAAACACCAAGAGAAUAAGUUACUGUGAAAGAAAAAUAAUUGUGUAACAUACUUUAUGAUAGAAUAUUCUAUGAACUACCUAUUAGUUGAUGUACUUGCACCCAAAAAAAAAAUCUUUUUCUAAUUUAUGAAACUUUAAUUUGUGAUUUGUAUACUCUAAGAUGAUAGUAACUAGUAAGACAACACAUAGUAUUAAUUAGAUUUGAUUUUUCUCUCUUAGUUUUGGAGGUAUCUUCAUGACAUUCAAUUCAGACAUAUCAUCUUCAUUUA